rnacentral:rRNA from 1 species
AAAUUGAAGAGUUUGAUCAUGGCUCAGAUUGAACGCUGGCGGCAGGCCUAACACAUGCAAGUCGAACGGUAACAGGAAGAAGCUUGCUUCUUUGCUGACGAGUGGCGGACGGGUGAGUAAUGUCUGGGAAACUGCCUGAUGGAGGGGGAUAACUACUGGAAACGGUAGCUAAUACCGCAUAACGUCGCAAGACCAAAGAGGGGGACCUUCGGGCCUCUUGCCAUCGGAUGUGCCCAGAUGGGAUUAGCUAGUAGGUGGGGUAACGGCUCACCUAGGCGACGAUCCCUAGCUGGUCUGAGAGGAUGACCAGCCACACUGGAACUGAGACACGGUCCAGACUCCUACGGGAGGCAGCAGUGGGGAAUAUUGCACAAUGGGCGCAAGCCU